ACUCCUACGGGAGGCAGCAGUGGGGAAUAUUGCACAAUGGGGGAAACCCUGAUGCAGCGACGCCGCGUGGAGGAAGAAGGUCUUCGGAUUGUAAACUCCUGUUGUUGAGGAAGAUAAUGACGGUACUCAACAAGGAAGUGACGGCUAACUACGUGCCAGCAGCCGCGGUAAAACGUAGGUCACAAGCGUUGUCCGGAAUUACUGGGUGUAAAGGGAGCGCAGGCGGGAAGACAAGUUGGAAGUGAAAUCCAUGGGCUCAACCCAUGAACUGCUUUCAAAACUGUUUUUCUUGAGUAGUGCAGAGGUAGGCGGAAUUCCCGGUGUAGCGGUGGAAUGCGUAGAUAUCGGGAGGAACACCAGUGGCGAAGGCGGCCUACUGGGCACCAACUGACGCUGAGGCUCGAAAGUGUGGGUAGCAAACAGGAUUAGAUACCCUGGUAGUCCACACCGUAAACGAUGAUUACUAGGUGUUGGAGGAUUGACCCCUUCAGUGCCGCAGUUAACACAAUAAGUAAUCCACCUGGGGAGUACGACCGCAAGGUUGAAACUCAAAGGAAUUGACGGGGGCCCGCACAAGCAGUGGAGUAUGUGGUUUAAUUCGACGCAACGCGAAGAACCUUACCAAGUCUUGACAUCCUGCGACGGUGCUAGAAAUAGUAUUUUCCUUCGGGACGCAGAGACAGGUGGUGCAUGGUUGUCGUCAGCUCGUGUCGUGAGAUGUUGGGUUAAGUCCCGCAACGAGCGCAACCC
rnacentral:rRNA from 1 species